rnacentral:rRNA from 1 species
AUUGAACGCUGGCGGCAGGCCUAACACAUGCAAGUCGAGCGAGCGGCGGACGGGUGAGUAAUGUAUGGGGACUGCCCGAUGGAGGGGGAUAACUACUGGAAACGGUUGCUAAUACCGCAUACUAUCGGAUAACCCAUAUGGGAUUAGCUAGUAGGUGGGGUAAAGGCCCACCUAGGCGACGAUCCCUAGCUGGUCUGAGAGGAUGAUCAGCCACACUGGGACUAGGACACGGCCCAGCCUCCUACGGAGGCAGCAGUGGGGAAUAUUGCACAAUGGGCGCAAGCCUGAUGCAGCCAUGCCGCGUGUAUGAAGAAGGCCUUAGGGUUGUAAAGUACUUUCAGCGGGGAGGCGUUACCCGCAGAAGAAGCACCGGCUAACUCCGUGCCAGCAGCCGCGGUAAUAC